rnacentral:tRNA from 1 species
GUAGCGUGGCCGAGCGGUCCAAGGCGCUGGAUUAAGGCUCCAGUCUCUUCGGAGGCGAGGGUUCGAAUCAGUAUACA